rnacentral:lncRNA from 1 species
AUCUCUCUGGCUACCCUGGUGGUCUUCAAUGCUCUGCUUCUCCAAGGAGUUUAGACUGUUCUGAGUCAUCAAGUGUGAUGAGCAAACGGAGUCUUGGUUGGAUUAAGUAGCUUGCCCAAGUCCCAGGGCUAGUCCAUGGCAGAGUCAAGAUUUGGUUACAGGGAUAUCCACUGGGCAAACCCAACCAGCCGAAGAGCCAAGGAGAUGGCAUUUGAAGGAGUCAGCCUGUAGCUGCUCAGAACACUGCAGAGAAGGGUUCCAAAUGACAGUGAGUGGGGUAUAGCCAAAUGGACAUUGACCAGCCCAUGCA